rnacentral:rRNA from 1 species
GACGAACGCUGGCGGCGUGCUUAACACAUGCAAGUCGAACGGAAAGGCCCUGCUUUUGUGGGGUGCUCGAGUGGCGAACGGGUGAGUAACACGUGAGUAACCUGCCCUUGACUUUGGGAUAACUUCAGGAAACUGGGGCUAAUACCGGAUAGGAGCUCCUGCUGCAUGGUGGGGGUUGGAAAGUUUCGGCGGUUGGGGAUGGACUCGCGGCUUAUCAGCUUGUUGGUGGGGUAGUGGCUUACCAAGGCUUUGACGGGUAGCCGGCCUGAGAGGGUGACCGGCCACAUUGGGACUGAGAUACGGCCCAGACUCCUACGGGAGGCAGCAGUGGGGAAUAUUGCACAAUGGGCGGAAGCCUGAUGCAGCUACGCCGCGUGCGGGAUGACGGCCUUCGGGUUGUAAACCGCUUUCGCCUGUGACGAAGCGUGAGUGACGGUAAUGGGUAAAGAAGCACCGGCUAACUACGUGCCAGCAGCCGCGGUGAUACGUAGGGUGCGAGCGUUGUCCGGAUUUAUUGGGCGUAAAGGGCUCGUAGGUGGUUGAUCGCGUCGGAAGUGUAAUCUUGGGGCUUAACCCUGAGCGUGCUUUCGAUACGGGUUGACUUGAGGAAGGUAGGGGAGAAUGGAAUUCCUGGUGGAGCGGUGGAAUGCGCAGAUAUCAGGAGGAACACCAGUGGCGAAGGCGGUUCUCUGGGCCUUUCCUGACGCUGAGGAGCGAAAGCGUGGGGAGCGAACAGGCUUAGAUACCCUGGUAGUCCACGCUGUAAACGGUGGGUACUAGGUGUGGGGUCCAUUCCACGGGUUCCGUGCCGUAGCUAACGCUUUAAGUACCCCGCCUGGGGAGUACGGCCGCAAGGCUAAAACUCAAAGGAAUUGACGGGGCCCCGCACAAGCGGCGGAGCAUGCGGAUUAAUUCGAUGCAACGCGUAGAACCUUACCUGGGUUUGACAUGGAUCGGGAGUGCUCAGAGAUGGGUGUGCCUCUUUUGGGGUCGGUUCACAGGUGGUGCAUGGCUGUCGUCAGCUCGUGUCGUGAGAUGUUGGGUUAAGUCCCGCAACGAGCGCAACCCUUGUUCACUGUUGCCAGCACGUUAUGGUGGGGACUCAGUGGAGACCGCCGGGGUCAACUCGGAGGAAGGUGGGGAUGACGUCAAGUCAUCAUGCCCCUUAUGUCCAGGGCUUCACGCAUGCUACAAUGGCUGGUACAGAGAGUGGCGAGCCUGUGAGGGUGAGCGAAUCUCGGAAAGCCGGUCUCAGUUCGGAUUGGGGUCUGCAACUCGACCUCAUGAAGUCGGAGUCGCUAGUAAUCGCAGAUCAGCAACGCUGCGGUGAAUACGUUCCCGGG